AGGGUUCGAUUCUGGCUCAGGAUGAACGCUGGCGGCGUGCUUAACACAUGCAAGUCGAACGGGAUCCAUCAGGCUUUGCUUGGUGGUGAGAGUGGCGAACGGGUGAGUAAUGCGUGACCGACCUGCCCCAUACACCGGAAUAGCUCCUGGAAACGGGUGGUAAUGCCGGAUGCUCCAGUUGACCGCAUGGUCCUCUGGGAAAGCUUUUGCGGUAUGGGAUGGGGUCGCGUCCUAUCAGCUUGAUGGCGGGGUAACGGCCCACCAUGGCUUCGACGGGUAGCCGGCCUGAGAGGGCGACCGGCCACAUUGGGACUGAGAUACGGCCCAGACUCCUACGGGAGGCAGCAGUGGGGAAUAUUGCACAAUGGGCGCAAGCCUGAUGCAGCGACGCCGCGUGCGGGAUGACGGCCUUCGGGUUGUAAACCGCUUUUGAUCGGGAGCAAGCCUUCGGGUGAGUGUACCUUUCGAAUAAGCACCGGCUAACUACGUGCCAGCAGCCGCGGUAAUACGUAGGGUGCAAGCGUUAUCCGGAAUUAUUGGGCGUAAAGGGCUCGUAGGCGGUUCGUCGCGUCCGGUGUGAAAGUCCAUCGCUUAACGGUGGAUCCGCGCCGGGUACGGGCGGGCUUGAGUGCGGUAGGGGAGACUGGAAUUCCCGGUGUAACGGUGGAAUGUGUAGAUAUCGGGAAGAACACCAAUGGCGAAGGCAGGUCUCUGGGCCGUUACUGACGCUGAGGAGCGAAAGCGUGGGGAGCGAACAGGAUUAGAUACCCUGGUAGUCCACGCCGUAAACG
rnacentral:rRNA from 1 species